AUGGGAGCUGAUUAUAUCGUCACAUUGGUCUUACUAUGCUUUUUGUUCAAUCCUUGCUACCUCACCUUAGUUGAAUCAGUAGGCGUGGAUGGCCAUCUACAGAUGAAUCAGAAGAACAACACCCUUUUAAGACCUAAACCGUUUUGGUUUCCUUGGAGAGCUAAUUUCAUGGAUGAAGGCAGCAACAUUAUUUCUCAUUAUGCAAUGUGGCACACUGAGCCAGGACAAUUCUAUGGCCUUCGAGCUGAAAUGAGUAUAUGGGCUUCACCAAAUCUAGAAACCUCUCAAGAAUCUGGAGCAUCCUUACAAAUUUAUUGUCAAGAUGGAGGACACUACAACUUAAUUCAAGUUGGAUUCCAUAUUUCCCCCUCUUUGUACCAUAACAGAGAUAUUCGCUUCUUUACAUAUUGGACUAAAGACUUGAAAUCCAAGGGGUGCUACAACUCACAAUGCACGGGAUAUGUACCUGCAAGUGGAGCGAAGCUGGUGCCUGGACAAGCCAUUGCUCCUCCAUCAGUUUAUGGCAUACAAGAUCACUACAUGAGGAUUAGCAUCAACAAGGAUCCAAAUUCUGGAGAUUGGGUGGUAUACCAUCAUGAUUUAGAAAAACCAUCAUUCUUGGGACAUUUUCCAAAGGAGCUUUGCCUUGGAACAAAACGUAUACAAGCAAUGACCGGAUUUGUGAAUUACUUGAAGAAUGCACAUGGUCCUCCAAUGGGUAGUGGCCACUUCCCUGAUUAUAAUGAGAAGAAAUCUGCCUACUUCAACCACAUUAAGAACUACAACUCCAAGGGUCAAGCUUUUGACCCCUUUUGGACUAAGGCGGCCAAGUUAGUUGAUAGGCCAGAUUGUUAUGAUGCAAAUGAUUUAUUUCUUGAAUUUAAGAAGGGUUAUACAUUCAAUUAUGGUGGACCAAGUGGUUGUAUUGGUUGA
rnacentral:rRNA from 1 species